rnacentral:lncRNA from 1 species
GAGAUAAGCGUCUUCAAUCCUUGCUCUGCAUCAUCAAUUAACCGAUUGUCGUUCGUAUCUCACUUCGUCUUUCUCUUACUUUCUAAUUCCUUCUGCGUUUCUUCUUCGUUUCCACUAAUUUUGGGGUUUCAAUUCACGCAAGGGUUUCAGGUCACACAACAACGGAAGCCACUCUCGCAUUCAACAAUCGACUUCGGCCAAUUUCGAUUACGGAGUUGGGUAUGUUAUUUGUAUUUUGUACCUGUCUAUAGUUGUUGCUUUCGUUCUUGGAAGCAGUUGUCCGUUUGGAUUUUGGGUUAGUCGUUUUUUUAUUUUCAAUUUUUGUUGCAACUGUUGUUUGCUUUGUAUUGGCAUAAUGCUUCCCAGUAAGCGUAAGAGGGGCUCCACUUGUGUUGCGACAAGGGCUCGUCGUGACAUAAAACACAUCUUUUUGGGCUAUGAUCUGUCAAUUUCUUUUGAUAUAAAUGACUUACCAGGGGACUAGGUAGUGGAGAAUCGAGGUUAGAGAGAUCAAGUGCUCGUUAGGUUUGGGGUUUAUUGAAGGUUAAUUUGGGGAUUUCCAA